rnacentral:rRNA from 1 species
UUGAUGUUCUAACGUGGAUCCGUAAUCCGGGUUGCGGACAGUGUCUGGUGGGUAGUUUGACUGGGGCGGUCUCCUCCUAAAGAGUAACGGAGGAGCACGAAGGUUGGCUAAUCCUGGUCGGACAUCAGGAGGUUAGUGCAAUGGCAUAAGCCAGCUUGACUGCGAGCGUGACGGCGCGAGCAGGUGCGAAAGCAGGUCAUAGUGAUCCGGUGGUUCUGAAUGGAAGGGCCAUCGCUCAACGGAUAAAAGGUACUCCGGGGAUAACAGGCUGAUACCGCCCAAGAGUUCAUAUCGACGGCGGUGUUUGGCACCUCGAUGUCGGCUCAUCACAUCCUGGGGCUGAAGUAGGUCCCAAGGGUAUGGCUGUUCGCCAUUUAAAGUGGUACGCGAGCUGGGUUUAGAACGUCGUGAGACAGUUCGGUCCCUAUCUGCCGUGGGCGCUGGAGAACUGAGGGGGGCUGCUCCUAGUACGAGAGGACCGGAGUGGACGCAUCACUGGUGUUCGGGUUGUCAUGCCAAUGGCACUGCCCGGUAGCUAAAUGCGGAAGAGAUAAGUGCUGAAAGCAUCUAAGCACGAAACUUGCCCCGA